ACAGUUGCCAUGAUCUGGAUAUGACAGCGGUUUCACACAUUUGCCGGACUGUAAGUUGUCCAAGGCCAUCUUCGGCACAUGCCGCAUGAAACUGGUAAUGGUAUCUGCCAUCACAGCGGCUGCUGCCGGUCUGCUGUUCGAUCUUAUGCUGCUGCUGGUCGGUCCUUCUUCAUUCAUGGUUACGACAACAGAGAUGUCGGACCGAAAAACAGUCGCAGAUAGUCUGACGGAACGGCAAUUACGGCAGAACCGUUCUAACCAGGUAGUUGUCGGAACACAACAUCAAUCAAUCAACUCCGGGAACGGUUUCAUUCAGAUUUAAAGAUGACCACCCCUGCCAAUGAUGCUGAUAUAACUUCAAGCUUUUUGGAUAUUGUGAAAAAGUUUCCAAAAGCGAUCGGUAGAAGAUGUCGAAAGAUAUAUCAAGUUCAAUUUGAAAAAAAAUUCUCAGGCUAAGUUUAUUCGCUUUUUUAUUGUAAUGGAAUCAACAAGAAUAGUUCUCGACAGACCUCCACACAACAGCAUCGAUAAUUGGGGUUAUAUGAACUUGCUAUCAUGCGAUUCUACCAUCGUCUCAGCAUAGUGGGCACCACUUUUUCCACUAGGAAAAACGUUAAACAGACUUUCAUCACCGUACGAUAACACGCUAUAUAUAGCGGGGAAUUCCAACAAAUGUGUAGGCAAGCAGCUCAAUGGUUCGGCUUUAAGGGCCGUCCGGACAUUUACAAAGAGUCUCAUAGAAAAUCGGUGGAAGCAGCAAUGUUUUGCUCAAUGGCCAUAUUCGGACGCACUAAGGAAUGGUGAGAUUAUAUAGUGUGAAAGUAAA